UUAUAGGAUGGUACUAAAAAGCUAUAAAUAGAUAUAAAAAUUUAACAAUCUUUAUUCUGCAUGUCUUAUACAUACAAAUCAACUAUCUAUAAACUCAAACAAACUUCUACCAAAUUCCACAACCAGUUUAAAGACAACAAAUGGUUUUCGGUUCAGACUGGAGAAGGAUUCUAUCAUCUGAUCAUAUCUGGAGUGCAGGACUCAGAUUCAGCAAUGUAUUACUGUGGACAAUCAUCAUCUCACUAUAUUUAGGUAAGGAAUAUUCUUGGUUUUAAGAGGUAUGUUGCAUCGUGUUUAUAAGGUGCAUAAUUCACAAUACAAUCACUACGUUCAUGCACGUUCAGUUUUGCAUUAAACUGUGUUUUCAGAUUCUAGCAGCAUGCUUUUCAUCCUGCAGCCAAUGUCCGACUCAGUAAAACCAGGAGGCUCUGUGACUCUGAACUGCACAGUCCACACUGGGACCUGUGAUGGAGAACACAGUGUUUACUGGUUCAGAAACUCUGAGGAAGCUCAUCCAGGACUCAUUUACACCCAUGGAGGCAGGAAUGAUCAGUGUGAGAGGAACCCUCACUCACACACUCACACUUGUGUCUACAACUUGGCCAUGAGGAGCCUGAAUCUUUCUCAUGCUGGGACCUACUACUGCGCUGUGGUCUCAUGUGGACACAUACUGUUUGGAAACGGGACCAAGCUGGAGAUUAAAGGACAAGAGUCUCAGGAAACCACUCCAGCUCAGUCUGCUGUGAAAGCAGAGGUGACUCAAAACUGAUCAUUAUAAAUGCUUUAUUCACACUUUUACCACAGGAAAUCACCAUUUACUGCCUAUACUGUGUGUCAAGAGUGAAAUAAUAACAUGUAUCAUGCUCUAUGCUGCAAGGGUUUCCAACACAAGUUCAACCUCUAUGCCGCUUUGACCGACAGAUCCAGACCACAGAGGGACCAGACCUGGAGUGAAUGUGUGUAUUAUAAUGUGAAGCAAUAGAG